GCCCGGGUGGUGGAAUUGGUAGACACGCCAGCUUCAGGAGCUGGUGAUUGCAAAGUCAUGCAGGUUCGAGUCCUGUCCCGGGUA
rnacentral:tRNA from 1 species